rnacentral:rRNA from 1 species
UACCAGCACCCCGAGUGGUCGGGACGUUUUAUUGGGCCUAAAGGCAUCCGUAGCCGGUUCUACAAGUCUUCCGUUAAAUCCACCUGCUUAACAGAUGGGCUGCGGAAGAUACUAUAGAGCUAGGAGGCGGGAGAGGCAAGCGGUACUCGAUGGGUAGGGGUAAAAUCCGUUGAUCCAUUGAAGACCACCAGUGGCGAAGGCGGCUUGCCAGAACGCGCUCGACGGUGAGGGAUGAAAGCUGGGGGGAGCAAACCGGG